AGAAACUCGUCCGCCGAAUGACCAAGGGUUCCUGGGCCAGGUUAAUCCGCCCAGGGUGAGUCGGGACCUAAGGCGAGGCCGACAGGCGUAGUCGAUGGACAACGGGUUGAUAUUCCCGUACCCGUGUAUCCGCGCCCAAUGGCGAAUCAUCUGUGCUAAGUGCCCAAAUGCGGACGGACCUCCUUCGGGAGGCUGAAAGCGGCUGCGCACGACCCUGGGUGUAGUAGUCAAGCGAUGGGGUGACGCAGGAAGGUAGCUGGGCCAGUCAGUGGUUGUACUGGUGUAAGCCUGUAGGGCGUUGUGUAGGCAAAUCCGCACAGCAUAUAGCCUGAGAGGUGAUGCGUAGCCGAUUGAGGCGAAUUCAGUGAUCCUAUGCUGCCGAGAAAAGCCUCUAGUGAGUUGGUACACGGCCCGUACCCCAAACCGACACAGGUGGUCAGGUAGAGAAUACUAAGGCGAUCGAGAUAACUGUGGUCAAGGAACUCGGCAAAAUGCCCCCGUAACUUCGGGAGAAGGGGGACCAUGUCCGGUGAACGCCUUUACGGUGGGAGCUGGGUGUGGUCGCAGAGACCAGAGAGAAGCGACUGUUUACUAAAAACACAGGUCCGUGCGAAGUCGUAAGACGAUGUAUACGGACUGACGCCUGCCCGGUGCCGGAAGGUUAAGAGGACCGGUUAGCGCUUCGGCGCGAAGCUGAGAAUUUAAGCCCCGGUAAACGGCGGUGGUAACUAUAACCAUCCUAAGGUAGCGAAAUUCCUUGUCGGGUAAGUUCCGACCUGCACGAAUGGCGUAACGACUUCUCUGCUGUCUCGACCACAGACUCGGCGAAAUUGCACUACGAGUAAAGAUGCUCGUUACGCGCGGCAGGACGAAAAGACCCCGGGACCUUCACUAUAGCUUGGUAUUGGUGUUCGGUACGGUUUGUGUAGGAUAGGUGGGAGACUGUGAAGCAUGCACGCCAGUGUGUGUGGAGUCAACGUUGAAAUACCACUCUGAUCGUAUUGGACCUCUAACCUCGGACCAUGAUCUGGUUCAGGGACAGUGCCUGGUGGGUAGUUUAACUGGGGCGGUUGCCUCCCAAAAUGUAACGGAGGCGCCCAAAGGUUCCCUCAGCCUGGUUGGCAAUCAGGUGUUGAGUGCAAGUGCACAAGGGAGCUUGACUGUGAGACUGACAGGUCGAGCAGGGACGAAAGUCGGGACUAGUGAUCCGGCACCGGCAAGUGGAAGCGGUGUCGCUCAACGGAUAAAAGGUACCCCGGGGAUAACAGGCUGAUCUUCCCCAAGAGUCCAUAUCGACGGGAUGGUUUGGCACCUCGAUGUCGGCUCGUCGCAUCCUGGGGCUGGAGUAGGUCCCAAGGGUUGGGCUGUUCGCCCAUUAAAGCGGCACGCGAGCUGGGUUUAGAACGUCGUGAGACAGUUCGGUCUCUAUCCGCCGCGCGCGUUGGAAACUUGAGGAAGGCUGUCCCUAGUACGAGAGGACCGGGACGGACGAACCUCUGGUGUGCCAGUUGUCCCGCCAGGGGCACGGCUGGUUGGCUACGUUCGGAAGGGAUAACCGCUGAAAGCAUCUAAGCGGGAAGCCUGUUCCAAGAUGAGGUUUCCCACCACCUAGAGUGGUUAAGGCCCCCUACAGACCAUGGGGUUGA
rnacentral:rRNA from 1 species